rfam:Mycoplasma sp. (ex Biomphalaria glabrata), complete genome.
CGGAAAAUAGCUCAGUUUGGUAGAGCACUUGGUUUGGGACCAAGGGGCCGCAGGUUCGAGUCCUGUUUUUCCGA